GACGAACGCUGGCGGCGUGCUUAACACAUGCAAGUCGAACGGAAAGGCCCUGCUUUUGUGGGGUGCUCGAGUGGCGAACGGGUGAGUAACACGUGAGUAACCUGCCCUUGACUUUGGGAUAACUUCAGGAAACUGGGGCUAAUACCGGAUAGGAGCUCCUGCUGCAUGGUGGGGGUUGGAAAGUUUCGGCGGUUGGGGAUGGACUCGCGGCCUAUCAGCUUGUUGGUGGGGUAGUGGCUUACCAAGGCUUUGACGGGUAGCCGGCCUGAGAGGGUGACCGGCCACAUUGGGACUGAGAUACGGCCCAGACUCCUACGGGAGGCAGCAGUGGGGAAUAUUGCACAAUGGGCGGAAGCCUGAUGCAGCAGCGCCGCGUGCGGGAUGACGGCCUUCGGGUUGUAAACCGCUUUCGCCUGUGACGAAGCGUGAGUGACGGUAAUGGGUAAAGAAGCACCGGCUAACUACGUG
rnacentral:rRNA from 1 species